UACGUAGGCAGCAAGCGUUGUUCGGAAUUACUGGGCGUAAAGCGUGCGCAGGCGGUUGUGCAAGACAGAUGUGAAAUCCCCGGGCUCAACCUGGGAAUUGCAUUUGUGACUGCACGGCUAGAGUGUGUCAGAGGGGGGUAGAAUUCCACGUGUAGCAGUGAAAUGCGUAGAUAUGCGGAGGAACACCGAUGGCGAAGGCAAUCCCCUGGGCCUGCACUGACGCUCAUGCACGAAAGCGUGGGGAGCAAACAGG
rnacentral:rRNA from 1 species